CACUCAUCGGGAGAAGAACUAGAGAAAAGGUAACUAACUUUGAAAAUGGUGCGCUUGAUCGUCGGAAUCGUUGUUGUGCUUGUUGUUACCAACGCAAUCGCAGCACAUGAAGAAGAAACACGUUUAGGCAAACGUGCUUAUGAAGAUCAGGGUGUUGCCGAUCUGAAUGACGCCGCUAUGGCUCGAAUCUCUGCUGCUCAGCGUAAUUUCUAUCGAACCAAUGGCUAUGACAAUAGUAUAAUACGCCGGAGCAGUGGUGAAAAUGACGCCGGUAUUGAUGCUGUCUUUCCCGCUAUAGAUAGAUAUCGAUGAAUAUGGAUCUACCUGUAAAACAUCAUAAAAUAUUGAUUAACAGGCCCUAUCAUUCUUAGUCGUGAUGUAAUAUAGUACGUAAUUCAA